rnacentral:rRNA from 1 species
GUGGGGAAUCUUGCGCAAUGGGCGAAAGCCUGACGCAGCCAUGCCGCGUGAAUGAUGAAGGUCUUAGGAUUGUAAAAUUCUUUCACCGGGGACGAUAAUGACGGUACCCGGAGAAGAAGCUCCGGCUAACUUCGUGCCAGCAGCCGCGGUAAUACGAAGGGGGCUAGCGUUGCUCGGAAUUACUGGGCGUAAAGGGCGCGUAGGCGGACAGCUUAGUCAGAGGUGAAAGCCCAGGGCUCAACUUUGGAAUUGCCUUUGAUACUGGCUGUCUUGAGUUUGGGAGAUGUGAGUGGAACUCCGAGUGUAGAGGUGAAAUUCUUAGAUAUUCGGAAGAACACCAGUGGCGAAGGCGACUCACUGGCCCAAUACUGACGCUGAGGCGCGAAAGCGUGGGGAGCAAACAGGAUUAGAUACCCUGGUAGUCC